GCCAGCGACUCGUCGCCCGUCGGCAGCCGUCGCUAAUUUAUGUGCGCGGGACGUGCCAUAGUGUAUUGUCGUCCGAGGCGUAGGUCGACCGCGGCUAGUUUUUCCCGACAAUUUUCCAUGAAUUUCCCGGUCGGCCACUGUGAGAACGCAUUGUGGAGACUCAUAUUAUAAAUGGCGGAAGACAACCUUAUCACGGCGGUUCGCGACGGUGUUGAUUGUCUCCGGUCCAACGAACAUUUGGAAUAAAUAUUGCUGCCGACUUGGGUUGUGACUUUCUGGCAGGAACCCUAAUAGUCGAGCACGAAGUCGGCCAGUCUGCGUCCGUCCGUCCGUCGACGGUUACCACUUACCGGUGUACGCAGUUACGGUUGCCGAAACCGGGGAUUCAGCGCGCUCGCAGAGUGAGCUUUCCGGACUUGUUCUAUCGACAAGCCCACCGAUGGACUCUGGAUUCGGAAACAAUCGCUCACGCUAAUGCCAAUAGAACGAGACUAUUACAACUCAAGGAGGAGCCAGAAUCAAGUUUGUGAUUAGAAAAUAUGAAUCGUGCUGUUUUCAUUGUAACAACUAACAAGAUUCAUGUUCAUAGUUGCAGCUCGUCAGAAUAUUGCAUAAUUAAAAUGAAUAGGAAAGAGAUCCAUGAUAUUUGCUGACAUUAGCUAGCCGCCCAACUGGUACACUUUUUGGUCUUGCACUUCAUUUUACAGUGAUUCAUUGGUAACUUUGCAUGCCCAUAAAACUGUUUUGUCAUGCUGCUUCUAUAAAUUGUGUGUGCGUGUGUUGUGUGGGGAAGGAGAAAUAAUAAUAUUAUAAUAUGUAAUUUUAUUUCUAAAAUCUUAA